AAGGAGAAUUACCUACUGUUUAAUUUUGAGGGUUCGUUUUUACGAAUACUCAAAAUUAGCACUUUAAGCAACGGGAUUUAUCCGUUGGCGACGUGCUUUAGCACUUUUAGCAACAGAAUAAACUGAACGCAUGUGAAGUUUGUUUGUUGGCGCUGUGCGUUAGCACUUUGAAAACUGCAUAUAUAUUUAGUGAUAUGACAUCUAAUUUGUAAUAUAUAAAGCUGAUAACUUUUUAAAAUUAUCGAAGUUGAUAGCUUCUAAUCUAUCAAACCUUUUUAAC
rnacentral:misc_RNA from 1 species